rnacentral:misc_RNA from 1 species
GGUGUAUUCAAUAAUUUCAUGGUUUAAAAGGAAACACCCACACAAAAGCAGAUUUUCUUGUUUCUAGAAACAUCAAACGAGAGCCAGAGAUAUGGAGGAAGAAGAGCAUGAGGUGUACGGUGGAGAGAUUCCUGACAUGGAAGGCGAUAUGGAACCUCACAACACCGACGUAGACAUGUCCGCCGCCGAUGAAGACGCCGUCAAGGAGCUGGAUGAGAUGAAGAAGAGGUUGAAGGAAAUGGAGGAGGAAGCAGCGGCUCUUCGCGAGAUGCAAGCUAAGGUUGAGAAAGAGAUGGGCUCUGUUCAAGAUCCAGCUAGUGCAGCUGCUAACCAGGCAAAUAGGGAGGAAGCGGAUUCUCGUUCUGUGUUUGUUGGCAAUGUUGAUUAUGCAUGCACACCAGAAGAAGUCCAACAACACUUUCAGUCUUGUGGUACAGUUAACAGGGUUACUAUUCUGACAGACAAGUAUGGCCAGCCAAAGGGUUUUGCUUAUGU